CAGUAAUGAUGGGUAGGGGAGCUUCCCAUACGGGUUGAAGCAUGACCGUAAGGACAUGUGGACAGUAUGGGAGUGAGAAUGUUGGCAUGAGUAGCGAGAUGUGGGUGAGAAUCCCACAGGCCGUAAACCCAAGGUUUCCAGGGGAAGGUUCGUCCGCCCUGGGUUAGUCGGGACCUAAGCUGAGGCCGAAAGGCGUAGGUGAUGGACAACAGGUUGAUAUUCCUGUACUACCGAUAACCGUUUGAGAGAAGGGAUGACACAGUAGGAUAAGCUAAGCACACUGUUGGUUAUGUGUGCCCAAGCAUUGAGGCAGUCAAAGUAGGCAAAUCCGCUUUGAUAAUGCUGGGAUGUGAUGGGGAGCGAAAUUUAGUAGCGAAGUAGCUG
rnacentral:rRNA from 1 species